rnacentral:rRNA from 1 species
UACGGGGAGGCAAGCGUUGUUCGGAUUACUGGGCGUAAAGGGCGCGUAGGCGGCCACCGCAAGUCGACUGUGAAAUCUCCGGGCUUAACCCGGAAAGGUCAGCCGAUACUGCGGGGCUAGAGUGCAGAAGGGGCAACUGGAAUUCUCGGUGUAGCGGUGAAAUGCGUAGAUAUCGAGAGGAACACCUGCGGCGAAGGCGGGUUGCUGGGCUGACACUGACGCUGAGGCGCGAAAGCUAGGGGAGCGAACGGG